UACGAAGGGGGCUAGCGUUGUUCGGAUUUACUGGGCGUAAAGCGCACGUAGGCGGAUUGGUCAGUUAGGGGUGAAAUCCCAGAGCUCAACUCUGGAACUGCCUUUAAUACUGCCAGUCUCGAGUCCGGAAGGGGUAAGUGGAACUCCUAGUGUAGAGGUGGAAUUCGUAGAUAUUAGGAAGAACACCAGUGGCGAAGGCGGCUUACUGGUCCGGUACUGACGCUGAGGUGCGAAAGCGUGGGGAGCAAACAGG
rnacentral:rRNA from 1 species